AUGUCCAUAUAUGCACCUCCUCUUGAGUCUUUUAAGCAUGUCCGGGUGCUGGUAUUUGAAGUGCCAGAUGAGAGAAUCAAGCUAGGCGCAAUCUGCCACUUGUUUCAGCUGAGGUAUUUGAAGGUUUCAGCAGACAGCGUAGAGCUUCCAGCAGAGAUUCGAGAGCUUGUGCACCUGAAGACACUGGAGAUGAACUGCUGGUCUGAAUCAAUAAUCAGUUCAGAUAUAGUCCACCUGCCCAAUUUGUUCCAUCUGCUCCUUCCAGCCGACACAGGGCUACCUGAAGGGAUCCGGAACAUGACAUCAAUCCGCACCCUACGUUGUUCAAACAUGGGGAAGAGCUCGGUGGAGGAUAUUACAGGUCUGGGCGAGCUGACCAAUCUGAGGGAUCUAAGCCUAUCCAACAACCCUUACUGGGGGGACUCUUUGACGGUGGAGGGGAUUGAUGCUCUGGUCUCCUCAGUUGGGAAGCUCCGAGACCUUAGGCAGCUCUACCUCAAUUGCCAACAUGGUCGAUAUAAAGACCAGCUGGACUCGUUACCUGAUCCUCCUUCCCGUCUCGAGGUGCUCGAUCUGGUAGAGUGGCCGUUCUAUGUAGUUCCCAAAUGGAUCGGUGGUCUCCGUUAUCUCAGGUGGCUCCGUAUGACCGUUGCUGACUUGUCGACUGAUGAGCUGCGUAUUCUUGGAGAGCUGCCCUCUCUUGUUCAUACCAUCUUGUCCGUUUUAUGUCUCCCCAAAGACAAGAUUGUGGUCGGCUCAGGGUCAUUCCCGGUUCUGGAGGACAUUUCCCUUUAUUCUGAUAAGGGAGAUGUAGCAGCUUACCUGAGAUUCGAGGCAGGAGCUAUGCCCAGUCUACGAGCACUCGGUAUCGAAUUCGCAGUGAAGGGUUGGAGCGGCUGUACACCGAACGGCAUGGAGCACCUUCUAGGCCUGGAGCAAGUCAACGUAUGUGUCUACCGCACGCCCACCACGGACCAAGUGGCACUCGAUGGUGUCUCCUCCGCGUACAGGAAGGCACUGGAGGUGCACCCGAGACAUCCUACCUUUGCGUUUGAGAGGUAG
rnacentral:rRNA from 1 species